GUUGCUGUGACACUGUGUGUGAUGGCGAUACUUCUGCAAGUUCCAGAUGUUUGCACAUAUGAUUUUAUGCAUUAUCACGAAUUACCGCUGCCUUGAAUGAAAACGUUCUGUGAAAUUUUUUGCAAAAGCUUUACUAGUUUUUUUUUAUUGUGAAAUUUUGUAAAGGCAGGAAAUGGAUUAAGACGAGCAUGCUAAAUAUAUUUUUCAAAAAAAAAAGCAAUAAUUUUACAUGUACAGAAAUUAUCCUAACCUUUAAUACUGGUGAGAGCGACAGUUUACUUAACCCGGUAAUGGAUCAGCGCGGUUUUUGUAGGAAAUGGGCUUCUGAUACAAAGACUUGUUUAAACACACAUGUAUACACGAACCCUGGCGCGUGGUUCUCUGUUCUAAUGAUCUGUUGGAUUGUUAUUAUUAUUAUUAUAUUAUUAUUAUUAUUAUUGUUGUUGUUAUUGUUAGUUAAUGUUUGAUUCCAGGUUCUAUUUGUUACUGUUUUAAUUACUUGACCGUUCAGGUGACUGCUGCACUUGCAAGCAAUGCAAUGUUAACUGGCUAGCAGAUAUAUAUAUAUAUAUACAUAUAUAUAUACACACAUAUAUACAUAUAUAUAUAUAUAUGUGUGUGUGUGUGUGUGUAUAUAAUUUUUUUUACUUACUUUUCCUGAUACUCCUACAGCAGGUUUGUAUGAGAGCGGCUUGCCGUGUCGGAGCGCUUGGGAAUAGCCAUCAUUCUGAGGCGUUACUUGGAGCAGGAGCAGGUCGUAGAGAUACAUUCCUCUCUCCGCCUGAGGCAGCGUAGUACCUUUCUGUUGACGGCGUUUGUUCUUUUUGCUAGGUUCCCCAUCAUUUCUGCGCUCUCUGGCUUUUUGUUCCCUUGGCUGAGAGUGAAGGUGAGAGUUAGGAAUGUCAGAGCCUGUGAUUCGGCCCAUCUAUUUCUGUGUUUUAGUUAUUAAACAGUUCUGUACACAAAGGGACACGAAGGUGUCGUCUGUGUUUUUCCUGUGUCUGAGGCUGCACUUGGCAUUGAGAACUGGAAGGUCUGUCUGUCCCAUGAGUCUCCUUCCCAGGGUCUGGCGGGGAAAGACGGGUGCCUGAGGUCCGUCUGCCUGCCUGGAGAGCAGCCAGUCUCAGGAUGACCUGCCCCUCCAAGCACAGAGAGGCACAAUUUUCCUGUAGCCACAAGGCCAUGAGGUCCCCAGCGCUCACUCCUGGGACCAGCUGUGUGCUGGCCUGCUGCAUGGUCUCUCUGUCCCGCUGGCCAUCAGUAUUGGACUGGUUUGUUAAUUUGUCUAUGUCAGCUCAACAAUAGUAUUUAAUAUGAUUUGUGUUUCCUUAUUUAUUUAGCCAAUCUGUUUUGCUUUGCCCCUCCUCCUGUGGUGAUUUCCACAUCUCUGACUGUUACGGACCUCCUACCUACCUCUCUGCAUCUUCUGUCUCCUUGUUUCCUGACGGGGUUUUUACAGUGUUGCGUCUAAUGUAACUUAGACAAUAAAGGGUUUGGUUGUCUACACUGC
rnacentral:lncRNA from 1 species